rnacentral:misc_RNA from 1 species
ACAAUAUUCAAAUAUGCGUCGUUAGAUUACGCGUUGUUACAGAAUGCGUUGAAGAAAUAAAGGUUCACUGCUCGUUCCCCGUAGGUGAUAGCGUGAUAAUAUGUAGCCUAUAUGUUGACCCGACUUCUUAAUAAUAUUCGUGCCAAAUUUGAAGUAAAUCCAUGCAUACUUUUUGAGUUUAUCCCGGACAUACAUACAGGCAAACAGGCAAA